UUCAUUUAAGCUUUUGGAAUUUUGGAGAGCAUGGCCGACUAUCGUACAAGGUAACGAUCCGUUGCCACGUAAGCCUGCCUUGCUAACCAUGGCUCAUUGCUGAAGGUGGCUCUAAAGCCAUUUGCAACAAAUAUUUGGAAACUAUAUUGAAUAUUUUAAAAGUGAGCAUCAUGACUCUAACAUGAAUUCAAUUGUUCGUAAUGGUGGAGAUGAAAAAUAUGCCGCUGAUACCACCCUUACUGGAAAGGAGAAUAACAUGCUUGUUUUUGGGAGGAAACAUCAAGUGUAGUGUACUUUCUUAUCCAGAAGUCUUCCUGGUGUAAUGGUAAAGUUGAGCAUGAAGUUGAUUUUGUACAGAAAGCAGCUCGUUAUCACUAGUUUAGUUCGUAGAGACUGCAAUCUUCCAAAUAAGAUAAAAUCUGAAGCCUUUCUUCACGGAUUCUCAGCCCAACAACAAUGCGAUUCUGUUCGAAAAUUAUUUUGGACAAAGAACCAGGUCAAGGAUGUGCUGUUUUGGGUAAAUUUGACUUGUGUUUCUUUAUAAAAAUAAAAAUUAAAAUUAAAAAUUGUAUAAAUAA